UUGUAAAUAUUUACAAAGAGGACUUGAGAUCAGGCAGCGGCCAGACAACCGUAGAGAUGAUUUCCACAGAUGAAGGGCUUAAUUUCAUCCCUUUGUCUACUAAAAUCAUCUCACAUUU